rnacentral:rRNA from 1 species
GCAUAACGCGAAGAACCUUACCAGGUCUUGACAUCUACCUAAUCUCCCAGAGAUGGGGGAGUGCCCUUCGGGGAAAGGUAAGACAGGUGGUGCAUGGUUGUCGUCAGCUCGUGUCGUGAGAUGUUGGGUUAAGUCCCGCAACGAGCGCAACCCUUGUGAUUAGUUGCUACGCAAGAGCACUCUAAUCAGACUGCCGUUGACAAAACGGAGGAAGGUGGGGACGACGUCAAAUCAUCAUGCCCCUUAUGCCUAGGGCCACACACGUGCUACAAUGGUCGUUAACAGAGAGAAGCAAGCCCGCGAGGUGGAGCAAAACUCUAAAAACGGUCUCAGUUCAGAUUGUAGGCUGCAACUCGCCUACAUGAAGAUGGAAUUGCUAGUAAUCGCGGAUCAGCAUGCCGCGGUGAAUACGUUCCCGGGUCUUGUACACACCG